rnacentral:snRNA from 1 species
GGGAGCACAGGCACACAUCCACUACAACUAGGAUGAUACAGAGAUUAGGAUGGCCCCAUGCAAGGAUGUUGCACAAAUUAGUGAAGCAUUCCACAGUUUU